UACGUAGGGCGCAAGCGUUGUCCGGAAUUAUUGGGCGUAAAGAGCUCGUAGGUGGUUUGUUACGUCUGCUGUGAAAACCUAGGGCUUAACCCUGGGCCUGCAGUGGAUACGGGCAGACUAGAGGUAGGUAGGGGAGAAUGGAAUUCCCGGUGUAGCGGUGAAAUGCGCAGAUAUCGGGAGGAACACCGGUGGCGAAGGCGGUUCUCUGGGCUGUAACUGACGCUGAGGAGCGAAAGCAUGGGGAGCGGACAGG
rnacentral:rRNA from 1 species